rnacentral:rRNA from 1 species
UACGUAGGGGCCGAGCGUUGUCCGGAGUUAUUGGGCGUAAAGCGCGCGCAGGCGGCUUGGCGCGCCCGACGUGAAAGCCCCCGGCUUAACCGGGGAGAGUCGUCGGGUACGGCCAGGCUUGAGGGCGGGAGAGGUUGGUGGAAUUCCCGGUGUAGCGGUGAAAUGCGUAGAGAUCGGGAAGAACAUCGGUGGCGAAAGCGCUCUACUGGACCGCAACUGACACUCAGGGACGAAAGCUAGGGGAGCGAAUGGG